AACCUUUAAAUUCUAGAUUGUAGCAAUAAUGGAAGAGAUAGAAGACAUUUAUGUACAAAUACUAUUCCUUUUCCCAGCACCAAUAUACUUCUUUCUAUCACAGCUUCAGUUUAAAAGCAUUCAAGGAGUUUCUGAAGCCUACAGCUUGUGAAGAAGAGGAUCUAUGGGGAAUUGGACACGGAAACAGGAAAACCGGGAACAGAAGACCUGAGGCAGGGACCAAAGUUAGCCUGCAGAAUCGAAGAGCAAGAGAAGCUGUAAACCCAAUGAGUCUCGAGUGCAUGAGCAUUGGAAUCCCAGACCUGGAGUUGUACAAACCAAAUGUGGAAUCAAAGCUGAACACCUGCCAGCCAAGUCAGAAGUCUGGAGAGAGGCUGCCUUGGAACCAUGCCUCAUCUGCUGGAAGAACACACUUUACAUAA
rnacentral:lncRNA from 1 species